ACUUAACCCUUGACCUAGAAGAGCCUCCUGUCACCUGAAAAGGGAAAGUCGGGAUUGUAAGGAAAGGAAUCUCAUAGGGCUUCUCUGAGGAGACAAGUCAUUGGAUUGGGCUUAGACGUUCCAUCCGUGGCAAGAUUUCCGGCUUUGCCCUUUGGAGCCUGAGGAGCAAGGGUAGAAUGAGGAUCGUGAGGUUCUUCAGAGGCAGUUACUCAUGAGGUCACAGCGCAGAAACGGCAAGAAAUGUCAGGACAACUAUGGAUGUGAAGGAUGGGAGAGGGGCCUCCUUCCACAUGAGGUCCCCAAAGGACAGGGGUUCAUCCUUCUCCAUCUAGGACUUGAGGGACAUCCUUCUCCAUCCAGGACUGAGAGGCAUCCUUCUCCGUGCAGUACCUGAGGGACAUCCUUCUCCAUUCAGGACCUGAGGACGUCCUUCUCUGUACUCCCUUGGGACUGCACCCUUUCCUGUGCCAUCCUUCAGAAUGCUAGGCUGUCGCUGGUUGGGGAUUGAACUCUAGCAUCUUAUCUCUAUUCUAGGUGAAUCCCUUCACAUUUAUAGUGAUUUACCGUUUAAUCACUGUACCAUUUUCCCCAAAAUAUGUGGGGUUUGGGGUUUGGUUUUUGUUCUUACUUCUAUUAAUUCUUCGGUCCCCACCUCCAGUUGUUUUGUAAUUUCUUUUACAACCUAAUA